rnacentral:misc_RNA from 1 species
AAGUCGUAACAAGGUAUCUGUAGGUGAACCUGCAGAUGGAUCAUUACUAAAUUGCUUACACAGCAAACAUCUACUAUUGUGAACCGUGAUGGCUUCGUGCCGUCAACACUGUAUAACUAUCAUUAAUCCAUACAUCACUUAAAAGUAAUACAACUUUUAGCAACGGAUCUCUAGGCUCUC